GGUGCUGUGGCUCAGUGGAAGAGCAUCUGCUUGAUAUGUAGAAGGACCCAGGUUCAAUCCUCGGCAGCUCCA